GAACGCUAGCGGCGCGCUUAAUGCAUGCAAGUCGAGCGAUGAGGCUCCUUCGGGGGUACAUCAGCGGCAGACGGGUGAGUAACACGUAGGUGACCUACCCUCGAGACGGGGAUAACGGCUGGAAACAGUCGCUAAUACCCGAUAGACUUACCAGGUCAAAGCGGUAAGAAAAGCUACGGUGCUUGAGGAGGGGCCUGCGGCCCAUCAGCUAGUUGGUAGGGUAACGGCCUACCAAGGCGAAGACGGGUAGGGGGUGUGAGAGCACGAGCCCCCACAAUGGGACUGCGACACGGCCCAUACUCCUACGGGAGGCAGCAGCAGGGAAUAUUGCACAAUGGACGGAAGUCUGAUGCAGCGACGCCGCGUGAGUGAAGACGGCCUUCGGGUUGUAAAGCUCUUUUACGGGGGACGAGGAAGGACGGUACCCUGGGAAGAAGUGUCGGCUAACUACGUGCCAGCAGCCGCGGUAAGACGUAGGACACAAGCGUUAUCCGGAGUUACUGGGCGUAAAGCGCCUGCAGGCGGCCUGGUAAGUUGGACGUGAAAGCCCCGUGCUUAACGCGGGGAGGUCGGACAAUACUGCCAAGCUAGAGUGCGUCAGAGGGGAGUGGAAUUUCCGGAGUAGCGGUAAAAUGCGCAGAUAUCGGAAGGAACACCAGUGGCGAAAGCGACUCCCUGGGGCGCGACUGACGCUAAGAGGCGAAAGCUAGGGGAGCGAACAGGAUUAGAGACCCUGGUAGUCCUAGCCCUAAACGAUGGAUGCUAGGUGUGGGACGUAAAAGUUCCCGUGCCCGGGGAAAGCCAAACGCGAUAAGCAUUCCCCGCCUGGGGACUACGGUCGCAAGGCUAAAACUCAAACGAAUUGACGGGGACCCGCACAAGCAGCGGAGCGUGUGGUUCAAUUCGAUGCUACACGAAGAACCUUACGUGGGUUUUGACAUGUACGUGGUAGAGAAGCGAAAGCGGAUUGACCCUUCGGGGAGCGUACACCAGGUGCUGCAUGGCUGUCGUCAGCUCGUGCCGUGAGGUGUCGGUUAAGUCCCGUACGAGCGCACCCUAUCCUAGUUGCACGUAUCUAGGGAGACGCCGCGGGAAGCCGGAGGAAGGUGGGGAUGACGUCAAGUCAGCAUGGCCCUUAUGUCCCAGGGCUACACACACGCUACAAUGGCCGGUACAAAGGGCAGCAAAGUCGCGAGGCGGAGCGAUCCCAACAAAGCCGGUCGUAGUUCGGAUGCAGGCUGCAACUCGCCUGCAUGAAGCUGGAGUUGCUAGUAACCGCGCGUCAGCUAUAGUGCGGUGAAUACGUACCCGGGUCUUGUACACACCGCCCGUCACGUCAUGGAAGUCGGUAACGCCUGAAGGCGGUA
rnacentral:rRNA from 1 species